rnacentral:rRNA from 1 species
GUUGCCCUCGAUGACGACAUAGGAGACUCGAUUAUCUGGAAGUUCAUCAAAGAUGGGGUUUACUCGGCAUCCUUGGCCUACAAGGCCCAAUUUGAAGGUCACACCACUUCGGAUCUCGUCCACUCUGUGUGGAAGGUGUGGGCCCCUCCCAGGUGCAUUUUUUGUGCUUGGCUUGUUCUUCAAGAUAGGAUUUGGACUUCGGACCGAUUGAGCUGCCGUUGUUGGCCCAAUUGCGGUCUCUGUCCUCUUUGAAAACAAGCCCAAGAAACCGCGGCUCACCUGCUCUACCAAUGUUGAUACACCAUGUGAAUUUGGAACGACAUCCUUUCGUGGUUUGGCUUGCACCAUAUCAUUACAUUGGCUUGGGCGGUGAGAGCCUCGAUCAGAGAAUGGUGGAUCGGUAACGUUUAGAUUCGUCUCGGCUCUCCGAAGGCGCUUGCCUCCCUCAUGAUGCUCAUUUCUUGGGAGGUUUGGUCCAAACGCAAUGCUAGAGUCUUUCGCAACUUGGCGGUACCUUCCAUGGUCAUCAUCCGCAAAGUCAAGCAGGAGGUGUCUUAUACAGGCUUUAGCUGGAGCGAAACAUUUGGGUGUUGUAAUGCUGCGAGAGUGGUCCUUUUAUUUGCCGCUUUCUGGCUUCUGUCUAAAACCUUCUCUCUUAAUCAAUGA